UGAUACAGUGAGCGGGAAGUGCAUAUACAGAGACCACACUGGAGAGACACCCUGUGACUCCACAAGCACAGGCACAUUCCAGCAGCUGCCCCAGUUGUGGAAGGUCCAGUUCCUGGAGAAGACACAGGUGAGAAGUGUCUGUGCUUUCAAUAGAGAAUCCAUGGAUUUUGAUAACUGAAUAGAAUUCCAUUUUGUUUGUAUAUCUCAACUUGCUCAGCCACUCAUCUGCUGUUGGACACCUGGGUUGCUUCCAGGCUUUGGCUGCUACAAAUUAUGCUGCUAUGAACAUAGGUAUACACAGAUCUUUUUGGAUAGGCAUGUUUGUCUCCUGAGAAUAUAUCCCCAGGAAAGGGAUUACAGGGUUAUAGGUUGGAGUGGAGCCUAUAAAGACAUCUCUAAGACAAAUGUCAAAGAAUUUCUUUACUUCUAUACCUUUAGUGGUUUUAGGCCUAAGCUAAUACACUCAUUUGUGGUGUUGUAGCCUCCAGGCUGUGGGAGCAGGUCCUGGCUGGGAGGAUCUCCCAAGAGUCACACCCUGUGUUCUUGAGGCUGCUGGGAAGUCUGAGCUGCAGUGUGUGUCGUGCCUCUGAACUCAGUGCCUCUGACUCCUUUCAUAUUUUGAUCUUUACUGAGCAUGGAGCAGGACUGGGAGAUGGUAUUUGAAUAUGGAAACUACACCAAAUAUGGAAACUACACUGAUGGUUUAUUUUCACCACAACCUGGUAACGAGUCUAGUGUGCUGCACUAUCCAGGAUAUUUUCAUAUUCCAAAACCUUCAGAUUUAGAAACAAUGAGUGGAGAUGGGCCUCUAACAGAGGUAAACAUAUCAAAGAUAGGUACACCCAGUGGAGACAGGUCCCCGGUCUCUUUUGAUUUCAGAAACAUAGUUUUCCUGCUGACAGUGCUCCUUGGGCUCUGUGGCUCUGUGGGGAAUGGGGUUGUCAUCUGGCUGCUGGGGUUCUGCGUGAAGAGGAACCCCUUCUCUGUCUACAUCCUCAACUUGGCCUGUGCGGACUUCACCUUCCUCUUAUGCAACAGCAUCUGGCUCAUACUAAUUCUUUCACAAAUUUACGAAGAUGUGAAUACGGAGCUGUUAGAAGCAGUCAAGCUCACUUCUUUCCUGGUGGGUCUGAGUCUGCUGAUGGCCGUCAGCACCGAGCGCUGUGUCUCUGUGCUCUGGCCCCUCUGGUACAGAUGCCACCGCCCCCAGCGCCUCUCCUCCAUCCUGUGUGCCCUCAUCUGGGCACUGGCAUUAUUUUCUGGGGCAUUUCAGCUUCUGUGUGAAUAUAUGGUUGGCUUCUCUUGUGACGUCUUCUAUUUGGUCUUGGAUGGGGUGUCUUUCAUCACCUUCCUGGUGCUCUGUGUGUCCUGCCUGACUCUGCUCAUCCGGGUCCAGUGCGGCUCCAGGAGGAGCCCGCCCACCAGACUCUAUGUGACCAUCCUGCUCAGUGUGCUGGUCUUCCUGCUGCUGGGCCUGCCCCUUGGUGCAGGCUUGAUGGCCUAUAGGCUCUCCUCAGCAGUGAGCCACUCUGACACAGUACUGCCUGUCCUCUACUUGCUCUCUGCCAUGAACAGUGUGGUGAAUCCCAUCAUCUAUUUCUUCGUGGGACGACACAGGCAGCCCCAGGCUCGGAAAUCACUCCGAGAAGUGCUCCAGAGAGCGCUGACGGAUGACACUGAGCUGAGCGGAAAGAAAGGAGUCACAGUUCCCGGACAGAAUGCAAUGGCCACCUGUCCAUCUGGGUCUGAGGGAGAGGGAUGCCUGCUGGAAUUCAAGUCUGACCCUGGAAAUAAGGACUCCCACCCAGGUCUUGUAAUUUAAUGAAGCCAUCAUAACUGCUCUGUGUGCUUUUUCUAAUGAUAACAGAUGACAUUGUUUUUUUUUCCAUAUAUCUGGUAUCCACCUGUAUUUCUUUGAUAGAACAUUUUGUUCAUUGUUCAUCUUCAUUUUUAAUUUUUUAAAAAAGUUUUGAUUGUAUAUUUUUUGAAUCAUAUUGGUUGUUACCUUUUUUCCCCAGAGUUACAGUAUGUAAAAUAUUUUCUCCCCUUCAGAGAGGUGCCUUUUCAUUUUAUCAGUAAUUUCUGUCAGUGUGGAGAAGCUUUUGAAAUUAUUGUGAUUCCCUAUGUUUAUUUUGCUCUUAUUUGGCUUGUUGUUGAUAUCAAAAUACUGAAGAUAUCCUGUGGUCAUUAUCAAAUAUUUUUUUCUUCAGUGUAUUUUAUAAGACAGACACUCAGCGUAUUUUGGAACAACCUAGGUGCCAACAAGAGAUGAGAGGCUAAGACUUUUGUUGUGUAUAUGUAGAAUGGAAUACUACUCUGCAAGUAAUAAUGAUAAAAUCAACAUCUUCACCUCCUUUUGGAUGGAGCUUGAAGGAAUCAUACCAAGUGAGAUAAGCCAGAAGAUAAGGAUAAUUCUGGGAUGAUCUCACUCAUAGACAGAACUUAAGAAAGAAGAACAGAAAGUGGAAACAAAAGCUAAAACUUGGACUGGGUUGGUACAAGGCUCCAAUGCAAGGGACUUUGUGGAAAAUGGACAAGGAGAGAGUGGGUGGAGGGAAGUUUUACAGGUCCUGGCACAUGAGGAUGGUGGGCCUUCUUGGAGGUGAGUGUGAUGGGUUGUUGCCUUUUGCUAUAUAUGGAUGGAUUUGGAGAAAAUCAUGCUAAGCAAAAGAAGCCAGAAGGAGGUCAACACGAGGAGAUCUCACUCAAAUACAGGAUACAAAGAAAAAAAAAAUGCCACACUGAUUUGAUGAAUCUGGCUUUUUAGUAUAAUUUGUAGUCAAGAAGUCAAUACCUCCGUUUCUGCUAGGGAACCACUGGUAAUUCAGAACCAUUGAUAAUUUUAUUAUUCAUAUACAUUUAGGUAACGUUUGUUCUAGAUAUUUGAACAAUGCUAUGGAAUUCUGAUAGUGAUUGCACUGAAUCAAUAUAAUACUUUUGGC